GAAUUUCGCUGGGGUCGACCUCCUCCCCGACCUCCAGCGAACGGUCAGCCCUUAUCCUCCUCCCGAGGGUUGGCCAACCAAACGGCGCCCGCCGCACCUCCUCCCGCGGCGGGCGUUGUUU
rnacentral:sRNA from 19 species